GUACACGCUGUGACUAGCAUAUCAAUAAGCGGAGGAAAAGAAACUAACAAGGAUUCCCCUAGUAACGGCGAGUGAAGCGGGAAGAGCUCAAAUUUGAAAUCUUAAAGGGUUUCCCUUUACGAAUUGUAGUUUAAAGAAGUGUUUUCUGUAGAGGUUUUGGUAAAAGUUCUUUGGAAUAGGACAUCAUAGAGGGUGAGAAUCCCGUAUUUGACCUUUACUUUCCACUUUGUGAUACACUUUCAAAGAGUCGGAUUGUUUGGGAAUGCAGUCCAAAAUGGGUGGUAAAUUUCAUCUAAAGCUAAAUAUUGGCGAGAGACCGAUAGCGAACAAGUACCGUGAGGGAGAGAUGAAAAGAACUUUGAAAAGAGAGUUAAACAGUACGUGAAAUUGUCAAAAGGGAAGCGUUUGACACCAGUGUUGUUUUUCUGAAAAUCAAUUAAAGAACUGUUUAUGCUAAGCUGUUUAGACUUUAUCAGCUAACUGUUUAGUUUUGAGCUUUUCUUUAAUGCACUUUUCAGUUAACAAGUCAACAUCAAUUUCUUUUGCUGUAAAAAAGCUUGAGGAAGGUGGCUUGAGAUUCGUCUUAAGUGUUUAUAGCCUCUUGCCUAUGCAGUCGGAGAGAUUGAGGUCUGCAGCGUAGAUCCUUCGGGGCUAAAUGCAUUUGUGCUAAGUUAUAGCAUUUUAUAGACAACUUGUUGACUAUGAUUUGUCUUGUAGCUUACUCGCCUAUGUUAUUUUACCUACGCUUAGGAUGUUGAGUCGUAGAGCACGCAG
rnacentral:rRNA from 1 species